rnacentral:sRNA from 1 species
AGAGAUCUACCAAACCCAGGGUAUCUUCCUUGAUCAGCCUUUACAGUAAAAAUGACCCAUCUAUGGCUGCUUAAUGUAUCCAUAAUCCACAAAGCAUAUUUAAAAGGCUCUUGGCACGGGCAGCAUUGGUUGAGCAGCAGAGCUCUGUUACAGAUAUGAAAACAAAAUGUGACACAAUGAAGAAGCUGCAUAAAAAUACUGAAACCUAAGCAAAAACAUUUCUUUUUCAAGCUGCAAUGGCACUGAAGCACAAUAAAAGGCAAGAAAAGACCAAGGGAAUUUAACCCUCCACAAAAGAAUCCCAAACCAACCAAACAAAACAAAAACCAGACACCACCAACUGCUUCUGCCUGCAUGAACUGGUUUCCCAUUUUUGCUUUAAUAAGGCAGUUCCGAUGGCAAAGGCUGUA